GGCCGACUGAGCUCAAUAUAGAAAAGGUAUAUCUACAAUGCGAGGAUGUAAUCCAAGUCAAUAGUAAACAGGGACAAAAAGGGUAAACAACUGUCAAGCUACGCCAAUAAUAUAAAGAAAUAAAUGUAAGCGAUACAAAAAUAAAUAAUCCAGUAAUGACAGACAUAUCAAACAUAACCUAGCUGGGGCCCCAUAAGCCCGCUAGGUACAUUGAAGAAGACAAUUAACCCAACCGUACCCCCAUAAGCCGAUGGGACACAUAAGUAAUGAAAAUAAACAUAAAUAAUCUAUAACUGUGCUAAUCCCAAUAAAUCAUGAUAGUCAUCCAGAUGUGCACUAAACUUGAACCGGGACCAAUUGGUAGUCAUGAGAGGUCAGACACCGGACUCGAAUCGAUAGUAAUGGAUAAUAACAAGAAGACACGUGCCAAAUUCGAACUGGACAUAGUGGGUAAUAACGAUAGGCCACAUAUAUAUAACUCAUAAUCAAAUGUCGAACUCAAAUCAAAACUCAAAGGAACCUCAACCAUAAUUAGAUCCUGAACUCGAAUCGAAACUCAUAGUAACAAUAAUAAUCAAAUACCGGACUCGAACUGAAACUCAUAGUAAUAAUAAUAAUCAAAUGUCAGACUCGAACCGAAACUCAUAGUAACCAUGCCCAACGGUAAUGUUAAAAUUCACACCAUACCAUAACAAUAUCAACGUCUAAAUAAUUAUCAACCAAUCUUAAUUAAAAAGGGAUACAUUCAAGAUUUUGCAAUUUAAUUUCACGUCUUAAAAUAAUAGAUGUUAUAUUAUAUUAAAAGAUAAUAUUUCAAUAUUUACUAAAAUAGGGUCCUAAUCCGGAAAAAUAAGGGAUGCUAGAUAUCAAAUGGUGCGCAACUAUAAGUACUCAUCUAGAGCUAGCAUAAUAGUUUACAAUUUUGGUAAAUAAACUCAAUUUAAAGAUAGGAUAAACCUAAUCUACCUGAAUACCAAAGCUAUAAUAUCUUUUCGCAAAACCUCCAAAUAAUAUCCCACUAGAAAUCAAACUUGAAUAAUUGAUUAAUUUAUUGAUUCUCCCUUUCUUUUUUCACGGCACCCACUGGAUCAUAAAGCCAUAGACAUAAAACAGAGAGUAGUAAUUAGCGGAAAAUGUUUCUCUUUCCUUUUUAACUUAAAGCUGACAAGAAGUUACAAUUAACUUACUUCAAUAAUUUUGCCACACACAAAUCUUAAAUACUGGCCACAAAGGAAACUUUAAGGCACAAGGUAAUCCCUUCACUUCCACGUGGAAGUGGAGGUGCCACUAGUUCACUUUUAAUUACUCCGUUAUAUAUAUUCACAUAUUACAUAAACUUGUGAUAAAAUAAUUAUAAUAUUUUGAAUAUACCAUAAUUAAUAGAAAAAUAUUUUUAAUAAAACCUCUAUUAUGUAAUAAUAAUAUUUUAAUAUUUCUAAAAUUACUAUUUCCGCUUAAAGUAUUAAUAAAUCAUAAAAGUCUAUUAUAAAGUGAUAUAACUAUAUCAUCACUUAAAAAAUUUUACCAAUAUAAAAAAUAUUCUGAAAGGGUACUAAAUUAUAUUUUUACCAAUGUCAAAUUAAAUUAAAUAAUCCACAAUACAUUUAGAUAGUACUAAAAUUAUAUGAAAAUACAGGAAAAUGACCGUAAGGGUCAUUACAACAUCCACUACUAAAAGAACUUUUGUCCACGAAAGUAAAGGAUAAGGUCAUACCUGAAGGCUCAAACAGGUUUGGGUACUGGACGCGCAUAUCAUGCUCGAUUUCCUAGGUAGCCUCCUCAACUGGACGGUGACGCCACAUCACCAGGUAGUCCAGGGGACAACCCAGGCUCCACCCAAUUUUAUAUCCUGGCUCAUAGCUCCAGAUACUCUAUUCAUCCCGAAAUAGCUAAGAUGUAUAGGGAUUUGAAGCAGCAUUACUAGUGGAGUGGUAUGGGGAGAGAUAUAGCUGGGUUUGUGGCAAGAUUUCCUUAUUGGAGCAGAUUUGGAGUCGUCAGUUCGAGGAUAGCACACUUCGUAGCAUUCGAGAGAAUAUUUUAAUAUUUCUAAAAUUACUAUCUCCGCUUAAAAUAUUAAUAAAUCAUAAAAGUCAAUUAUAAAGUAAUAUAAAUAUAUCAUCACUUAAAGAAUUUUAGCAAUA
rnacentral:lncRNA from 1 species